rnacentral:rRNA from 1 species
AUGGAAUCAACGAAAUGUUCCUGCAAUAAGAUGUAUUUAUUUAGACGAAGUAUCCGCUUUCCCUCACAUAAUAUGUUCAUGUUCACGACAGGCCGCCCGCAAAUUGCUGCAUGCAACAUCGAUGUAGCUCUGAUCCAGAACCUGGUUCUUGGAUGCAACACGCAUUGUCCUGGACAGUCUAGAUGUAGAUGUACUGUUGUUGUUGAUGCUAUAGCUGUAGCCUGUACUAUUGCUGUUUUGCUACUACAGUUAGCUGCUGCUGCUUCUAUUGCUUGUGCAAUUGUGCUAGUAGCCAGUAGAUGUUCAUUGCAUGACCUGCACUAG